rnacentral:rRNA from 1 species
GUCCACGCCGUAACGAUGGAUACUAGCUGUUGGGGCAACUUCAGUGGCUAAGCGAAAGUGAUAAGUAUCCCACCUGGGGAGUACGUUCGCAAGAAUGAACUCAAAGGAAUUGAUGGGGCCCGCACAAGCGGUGGAGCAUGUGGUUUAAUUCGAUGAUACGCGAGGAACCUUACCAAGGCUUAAAUGUAGAUUGACCGUUUUUGGAAACAGAACUUUUCGCAAGACAAUUUACAAGGUGCUGCAUGGUUGUCGU